UACGGAGGAUCCAAGCGUUAUCCGGAAUCAUUGGGUUUAAAGGGUCCGUAGGCGGUCAGGUAAGUCAGUGGUGAAAGCCCAUCGCUCAACGGUGGAACGGCCAUUGAUACUGCUUGACUUGAAUUAUUAGGAAGUAACUAGAAUAUGUAGUGUAGCGGUGAAAUGCUUAGAGAUUACAUGGAAUACCAAUUGCGAAGGCAGGUUACUACUAAUGGAUUGACGCUGAUGGACGAAAGCGUGGGUAGCGAACAGG
rnacentral:rRNA from 1 species